rnacentral:tRNA from 1 species
GGGCGGCUAGCUCAGUUGGUUUAGAGCGUCUCGUUUACACCGAGAAGGUCACAGGUUCGAAUCCUGUGCCGCCCACAA